rnacentral:rRNA from 1 species
AUACGGAGGAUCCGAGCGUUAUCCGGAUUUAUUGGGUUUAAAGGGUGCGCAGGCGGCCAUUUAAGUCAGCGGUUAAAUCGUGGGGCUCAACCCCAUUCUGCCGUUGAUACUGGGUGGCUUGAUUGCGGUCGAGGUUGGCGGAAUUCGUUGUGUAGCGGUGAAAUGCAUAGAUAUGACGAAGAACACCGAUUGCGUAGGCAGCUGACCAGACCGCAAAUGACGCUCAUGCACGAAAGUGCGGGGAUCGAACAGGAUUAGAUACCCUGGUAGUCCGCACAGUAAACGAUGAAUACUCGCUGUUUGCGAUAUACAGUAAGCGGCCAAGCGAAAGCAUUAAGUAUUCCACCUGGGGAGAACGCCGGCAACGGUGAAACUUAAAGGAAUUGACGGG